AUUGAACGCUGGCGGCAGGCCUAACACAUGCAAGUCGAGCGAGCGGCGGACGGGUGAGUAAUGUAUGGGGAUCUGCCCGAUAGAGGGGGAUAACUACGGGAAACUGUAGCUAAUACCGCGUACCAUAGGAUGAGCCCAAGUGGGAUUAGGUAGUUGGGGAGGUAAAGGCUCACCAAGCCGACGAUCUCUAGCUGGUCUGAGAGGAUGACCAGCCACACUGGGACUGAGACACGGCCCAGACUCCUACGGGAGGCAGCAGUGGGGAAUAUUGCGCAAGGGGGGCAACCCUGACGCAGCCAUGCCGCGUGAAUGAAGAAGGCCUUCGGGUUGUAAAGUUCUUUCGGUAGCGAGGCGUUACUCGCAGAAGAAGCACCGGCUAACUCCGUGCCAGCAGCCGCGGUAAUAC
rnacentral:rRNA from 1 species